GCUGGCGGCGUGCUUAACACAUGCAAGUCGAACGGAGUUGUCUCGCUGAUGAAGCUUCGGCAGAAUCUUGAGACAACUUAGUGGCGGACGGGUGAGUAACGCGUGGGUAACCUGCCCUUUACCGGGGGACAACAGUUGGAAGCGGCUGCUAAUACCGCAUAAGCGCACAGCAUCGCAUGAUGCAGUGUGAAAAACUCCGGUGGUAAAGGAUGGACCCGCGUCUGAUUAGCCAGUUGGCGGGGUAACGGCCCACCAAAGCGACGAUCAGUAGCCGGCCUGAGAGGGUGAACGGCCACAUUGGGACUGAGACACGGCCCAAACUCCUACGGGAGGCAGCAGUGGGGAAUAUUGCACAAUGGGGGAAACCCUGAUGCAGCGACGCCGCGUGAGUGAAGAAGUAUUUCGGUAUGUAAAGCUCUAUCAGCAGGAAAGAAAAUGACGGUACCUGACUAAGAAGCCCCGGCUAACUACGUGCCAGCAGCCGCGGUAAUACGUAGGGGGCAAGCGUUAUCCGGAUUUACUGGGUGUAAAGGGAGCGUAGACGGUAUUGUAAGUCUGAAGUGAAAUGCUGGGGCUCAACCCCGGAACUGCUUUGGAAACUGUAGUACUAGAGUGCAGGAGAGGUAAGCGGAAUUCCUAGUGUAGCGGUGAAAUGCGUAGAUAUUAGGAGGAACACCAGAGGCGAAGGCGGCUUACUGGACUGUAACUGACGUUGAGGCUCGAAGGCGUGGGGAGCAAACAGGAUUAGAUACCCUGGUAGUCCACGCGGUAAACGAUGAUCACUAGGUGUUGGCAUCCAAAG
rnacentral:rRNA from 1 species